rnacentral:lncRNA from 1 species
AUGCUCAGCACGCUGGCGGUUGGUGAGCAACUGCUGCAGCCCCAAGUUUCCGCUAGGGUCACUUCCCAUUUCUGGACACUGCUGUCCCCAGUGUCGGCGGCACUGUGCGUGUUACCUUCUCCUGGAGGAGCCAGGAAGAGAGCUGAGGGCUUUGUGUCUCCCCUAACACAGCACAGCCGGUGGAAAACACCAGCAGGGCAAGGUUUGCACAGAGGUUUUCUGCACACCCGCUGCGAGAGGACGCGGGUGGCUCUGUCACUCGGUGCCAGGGGCCCAAUCUGCUGGUGUCUGCCCCGGUUUCUCCAGUCCGAACCGAGCCCCAGCACCGCUGUGGUUCACAGGCCGUGCUGGAUUCUCAGGACAGAAGCUACCGAGUGCUGCUGGAAAAUGGCAGGUAAGAAAAAAUACCAAUAAGGAUACUAUUUGCUUCGGUCCUGGGCAUGCUGCUAUAUGGAACACCUGCAGGGUUUACUUGUGAUACUAAACCAUUUUUAUUUUUUUUCAAAUCACCUCUAUUUCUUCAGUAAAGGAUGCAUUUGAACACUCCCAUCUCUCCACUGUUCGAGUGCCCUCAACUCCACUGCAAGGGAAACAAACUAGCACUUGCAGAAUUAAUCCUCUGGCAUCUCUGAGCUCGUCAUCCCCAGCCACUGAGCUGCUUAUUUGCUGAGAGCUAGCGAGACCAGCAAAAAAGCAACUGCUCCUACAAGGAGUGGGCGAGCAGUGCUUUAAAUUGUUUAUACACUUGUUAAAUUUGUGGUAGCAUCUAACCACAAAUUGUAGUAGACUUCUGGCAAAGCUAGUAGAAAUCACUACCUCUUAUAAUUUAUGUUAAAAAAAGUAUUGUUUUUUCAAACCUUCAGCACUGGUUCUUGUACCUCUGACACCGCAAACUUACCUGCUGCCCUGAUGGUGGUAUGGGACAUGCAGCUCAUGUCCACUGAAUUCAGGAGAUACCUGUUACAGAUCGGCAGAAAGGAGCCAAGAGCUGCAUAUUUUGCAGAUCCAGACAUUUUCAAUAAUCCCUGGAAAUCCUCUUAUCUAUGUAUGUACAAACGUAUUACCC